UACGGAGGGUGCAAGCGUUAUCCGGAUUUACUGGGUUUAAAGGGUGCGUAGGUGGGUAGGUAAGUCAGUGGUGAAAAUCUUCGAGCUUAACUCGGAAACUGCCAUUGAUACUAUUUAUCUUGAAUACUCUGGAGGUAAGCGGAAUAUGUCAUGUAGCGGUGAAAUGCUUAGAUAUGACAUAGAACACCAAUUGCGAAGGCAGCUUACUACAUAGUUAUUGACACUGAGGCACGAAAGCGUGGGGAUCAAACAGGAUUAGAA
rnacentral:rRNA from 1 species